UACACACCGCCCGUCACACCAUGGGAGUGGGUUCUACCAGAAGUGGGUAGGCUAACCCGCAAGGGAUGCCGCUUACCACGGUAGGAUUCAUGACUGGGGUG
rnacentral:rRNA from 1 species